ACGGGGCGCAGCAGGCGAGAAAACUUUGCAAUGUGCGAAAGCACGACAAGGUUAAUCCGAGUGAUUUCUGCUAAAGAAAUCUUUUGCCAGUCAUAAAACCACUGGUGAAUAAGGGGUGGGCAAGUUCUGGUGUCAGCCGCCGCGGUAAAACCAGCACCUCAAGUGGUCAGGAGGAUUAUUGGGCCUAAAGCAUCCGUAGCCUGUUCUAUAAGUUUGCGGUUAAAUCCAUAUGCUCAACAUAUGGGCUGCCGUAAAUACUGUAGAACUAGGGAGUGGGAGAGGUAGACGGUACUCGAUAGGAAGGGGUGAAAUCCUUUGAUCUAUUGAUGACCACCUGUGGCGAAGGCGGUCUACCAGAACACGUUCGACGGUGAGGGAUGAAAGCUGGGGGAGCAAACCGGAUUAGAUACCCGGGUAGUCCCAGCUGUAAACGAUGCAGACUCGAUGAUGCAAUGGCAUAGAGCUAUUGCAGUAUCGCAGGGAAGCCGUUAAGUCUGCCGCCUGGGAAGUACGUACGCAAGUAUGAAACUUAAAGGAAUUGGCGGGGGAGCAC
rnacentral:rRNA from 1 species